CUCUCGGACGUAAUUUUCCGAGGAAAUAAUUAAUUACUUUAGAGAGAUGUGAUUCGGAACACGGAAGAGAGAUGAAUCACGUAAUUCCGAAUGCGAAGACGCGGAGUUCGGCAAAAUUGAAGUGGGUGAUACGGCUGUCAAGUCGAUCGAGAUAAUUAAAGUCAAUUUGGUGUUCCGGAUUAUACAUAAUUGUCAAAAUUCAUCGUCACACGACAAGUAGUGAGGAUGUUAAUUAAUUAAAAAUGACGGUUUUUAGACGCUAGCAGUUUUACGAAGCUAACAGAGACGCUAUUAUCAAUUCCUCUCGGGCUACGUUUUCGAAUUGCGCAACUAUAUUCGUGGAUUAUUCUGUCGCCCGGCCAAAUAUAUGUAUGCGCAAUAAAUAUUACUGGCUUUUCGUGCCACGUUCCGCGAACGUAGAUCAGUAUUUCACGAUCGUUGAUCCCGCCCCGGUGAACACGCGGAAAUCCAGAGUCCGCGGAAUGUGCGUCGAAACCGAUUAUUACAUCGAGCUGUACAGCAUGUUACUGUAGCUCGGUAUUACGUAAGGCCGACAUUCAGAACCAUUAUUAUAAUUAUCCUGCGGGAGCAAAAAACUGACUUCGAAGGAUACAUGCGAGCGACAUUAUGGUCGCAAUUAAAGAUCUGCCUGCGAUCUCUUUGACGAGGAACUACAUUGACUUCGGUCGGACUAAUGUAGAGGGGAAGAAAAAGAUUCCGUAAACUGUGUGUGUCUCGCUAAUCACGGUCUGAUAUAACGAUCAGGCGGAAGCGAGAACGAAAACUACAUUAGAUAUCCGUUAGACGUCAACAGCUCCGUGCAAUAUCUUAUAGAUGUCUAAUAGAGUUUUUGUGUGAGG